rnacentral:ncRNA from 1 species
UGUUUGGGACGACCCAAGCAUGUUUUUUACACGUGAGGACGACCUUG